rnacentral:rRNA from 1 species
CGUGCAGAAGCGGGGAUAAAACCAUAAGACGAGAAGACCCUAUGGAGCUUUAGACACACAGGUGGCCCAUGUCAAAUAACCCCCGCUAAGGGCCUGAACUAAGUGGAACCUGCCUUGAUGUCUUCGGUUGGGGCGACCAUGGGGAAUACAAAACCCCCACGUGGAAGGGGAGCACACCCCUAAGUUACUUCUUCUCCCGCAAGCCAGAGCAACGGCUCUAACCAGCAGAAAUUCUGACCAAACUGAUCCGGUAAUACCGAUCAACGAACCAAGUUAC